rnacentral:lncRNA from 1 species
UUAGAUUUAUAUAUAACUUAAGCUGCCCAUGUAGAAAACUUCAAUAUCUAUGACAUAAACAUCUACGUAGGUCUACACGUAGACUCAAUAAGAUGUAUGUUACUGUUCAAGAAAACAUACCUGUGUAACGUUUAAGCUAACUAAAUUCGACUAAAAUCCGACAUCUAGCUUAUCCAGGUACCUUUUUGUUCUUAUUUUUAUUUUUAUAUCUGACUAAUUAAUCAGUUAAUUGAAUAUCAAAACAUGUAUAGUGUAAUUACGUUUGCGCUCAAGGUCGUCCCCAGGAUUGGUUUGUUAAACCUCUCUUUCAAUGAGGAAAAGAGAUAUUACUAAAUUCAGUGUUGUUUUCUUUGCUUGUGUAGGUGAUGUCCUACUAGUAUCUUCUCUAAACCUUAUUUUGUCUGGGUUUCACCUGUACGUGUAUGUUUAAACCCGAUUAUUUUGUCAUUUAAUCCAUUCAAAUGUUAUAAAAUUUUACUUUUUCAAAUCAUAUAACACACUAAAGGAGGACGUAUAUAAGAGAGUUGGGUAAAAGCGAAAUAUGUAAAUCUAUAAAAGUAAAUCAAGAUUCUAAAUGAAAUGCAAGAUGUAAUGUUACAUAAUGCUUCAAAUAAUACAUAUAGGUGAUUUGGAAUAAAGUCAGGUAUUUGUACCAAUAACUACAAAACAUACACGAUUGGUAUCUCAAUUAUUUUGAUUCAUGAUC